rnacentral:rRNA from 1 species
UAGGGAAUUUUUCACAAUGAGCGAAAGCUUGAUGGAGCAAUGCCGCGUGAACGAUGAAGGUCUUUAAGAUUGUAAAGUUCUUUUAUUUGGGAAGAAUGACUUUAGCAGGUAAUGGCUAGAGUUUGACUGUACCAUUUUGAAUAAGUGACGACUAACUAUGUGCCAGCAGUCGCGGUAAUACAUAGGUCGCAAGCGUUAUCCGGAUUUAUUGGGCGUAAAGCAAGCGCAGGCGGAUUGAAAAGUCUGGUGUUAAAGGCAGCUGCUUAACAGUUGUAUGCAUUGGAAACUAUUAAUCUAGAGUGUGGUAGGGAGUUUUGGAACUUCAUGUGGAGCGGUGAAAUGCGUAGAUAUAUGAAGGAACACCAGUGGCGAAGGCGAAAACUUAGGCCAUUACUGACGCUUAGGCUUGAAAGUGUGGGGAGCAAAUAGGAUUAGAUACCCUAGUAGUCCACACCGUAAACGAUAGAUACUAGCUGUCGGGGCGAUCCCCUCGGUAGUGAAGUUAACACAUUAAGUAUCUCGCCUGGGUAGUACAUUCGCAAGAAUG